rnacentral:lncRNA from 1 species
AGCGCAAGACCAGAUCAACCAAGACCAUGAACGUCUCGUCCUGUAUCCAGCAGGCCAUAUGAUCAAAUUGUCAGGUAUUAAUUUACAAUUAAUGCAACCAAUUCUUCCAGGAAUAUCGUGUGUAUUGUCGCCUAGCCUGGAGACAUCCAGAAAUGUUAUUUGGAUUUUCUAUCCUUCUGGAUAAAACAUCACUAUGCUUGCA